UACGGGGGGGUGCGAGCGUUUGUCCGGAAUCACUGGGCGUAAAGGGCGCGUAGGUGGUUUGAUAAGGGUGUGGUGAAAGUCCGGAGCUCAACUCCGGAUCUGCCGUGCCGACUGUCAAACUCGAGGGCUGUAGAGGCAGACGGAAUUCCGGGUGUAGCGGUGGAAUGCGUAGAGAUCCGGAGGAAGACCGGUGGCGAAGGCGGUCUGCUGGGCAGUUUCUGACACUGAGGCGCGACAGCGUGGGGGAGCAAACAGG
rnacentral:rRNA from 1 species